GAUGAACGCUGGCGGCGUGCCUAAUACAUGCAAGUCGAGCGAAGCGGGGGCGAGUAAGUACCACGUAGAUGACCUCCUAUAAGAAUGGGAUAACUUCAGGGAACCGGAUCUCAACCGGUUCCUUAUAGGUGGAUCCGCGCUACAUUAGCUAGUUGGUACGGUAACGGCUUACCAAGGCAACGAUGCAUGGCCGACCUGAGAGGGUGAUCGGCCACACUGGAACUGAGACACGGUCCAGACUCCUACGGGAGGCAGCAGUAGGGAAUAUUCCGCAAUGGGCGAAAGCCUGAUGGAGCAACGCCGCGUGAGUGAUGAAGGUCUUCGGAUCGUAAAACUCUGUUAGUAGGGAAGCGGUACCUACUCAGAAAGCACCGGCUAACUACGUGCCAGCAGCCGCGGUAAUAC
rnacentral:rRNA from 1 species